CUCUCUCUCUCUAUAUGCACCGUCCCUCUGCUAUGAAACUUCACUAUUCUUGAUGAUCUCAAUUGAGAAACUUGGCUCAUCGCUCUUAAAUCUCAACCAAGAAACUGGUCUUUCACAAUCCCUGCAUUUCUAAAUGAAAAUUUCAUCUUGCACCCAAUAUUUUACACAUAAGUACUCGUUUGUUUCGCCCAUUUGCUCAAGGGAAAAAAGGAGAAGAAUUUUCCUCAUUUUUCUCCAGAGGAAAGGAAAUCUUACCAAAACUGCUCUGCCACAUCCCUCAAUUGUUCAGGCACAAGUUCUAUUGACAUGUCUAAUCUUCAAAAUGAUCCACUUUUGCAAGUGGAAACGACCUGUGGAUCCCUCCUUUAUGAAUUGCAAGUUUAUUAAAUUUUAAGAUAAAAGAUACAAUCUACUCCUUUGCUUUGUUUAGAUACAAAACUUUUCUUUUUCUUCUAUUCUAUCAUGAAAAUAAGAUCAUUUGGGAUGAGUUUGUGGAGUUAAAUACUGAUAGAGAUAGAAUGCUGCUUGAGCUUGAACAAGAGUGUCUUGAAGUAUACAGAAGAAAGGUGAACAAGAGUUCCUCAAUUUUCAUAAGCAGAAGCAACAUCAAUAUGCCAAUUAAGACUUCACAGAGAGAACUGGAUAUGAUGAUGGAAGCCGGUGCUACAGCUGUUGGUCUUGGACCACUUCAUCUGUGUGUUGAAACUGCAACAAUGGCACUUUUGGCAACUCUGAUGUUAUGGUCUGAUGCUCAGCAAUUGUCUAAUGCCUAUAUGCGUUUACAAGCAAGAUUUGGGAAAUAUUUUGCAUCUUACACUGCUCUAGCAUCUGUUAGAUUCAGAUAUAUCCCAAGAAAAUGGCUUAUAAGAACUAGAAGAUGAUACCUUGCUUUAGUAUAUGAUACAAGUAAGGAUGCAACAAAUUAUACCGUGUAAGUAACGGAAAGAAAGAAAUAAUUGCAAUAUUUGAAACCUAACUUUUGUUUUCAGUGUCAAUUUUUAUUGUGAUGUUAACUUUAUCAUAUAUUUGUUUUCAGUGUCAAUUUUUGUUUUCAGUGUCAAUUUUGUUAACCAUAACAAACAGGCAGAUUUGGUGUCUUCUAUUCUAUUGGUUGGCCUUCAGCAACUAAAAGGUCUACUUGGGAUCAAUCAUUUCAUCACCAAAGCUGAUGUAGUCUCUGUUCUGGAGUCUGUUUUCACAUCAAUAAACCAUCCAGUAAGCUCUAUUGCUCCAGUAAAUAGUUCAUCAAUCCAGGGGAUUUUCUUUGACAACUCAGAAAUUGGAAGAAAACCUUAUCUUCUUCAUUCUUUUCCCAGUACUUCUUUAUUUCAGAACAUUAAUCAGGGUCUUUAAACAAGUAUUUAGUGUUAAAUUAUGUACAUUUGGUAGAUUUUCACAAAUUUAACGAACCAAAAAUGUUACUAGAAGGUGCAAUGUGCUACCCUUAAAAUGUCUGAACUGCUACAACAUGCAGAUAAAUGUAAGUUAUAGGAAUUGCAUCCUAGUUUCCUGCCAUGUAUAGUAGGACUAGAUGUAGAAAUAAUAAAUAAUAGUCGUGUGGGUAAUAAGAAUAGAAUUAGUUAGGUGUCCACUAGUAUGUUAGAGGGAAAAGUUGUUAGGACAGUUACUGAGGUUGCAGUAGUUAUAGGGGCAGGAAUUUGAGUAUAAAGGGAGCUGGAGAAGAUCUUUGUAAGGCAUUCCAGAACUAAUAUCAAGGCAAAAUAUCUCUUUUCUCUUUUCUUCUCUUCCUCCUUCCUUUUCUUUCUCUAUUUCCUUUCUAAUUUCUACUAUUUUCUGUGAUUAAGAACUUGGUUGCGUGACAUUUCCUUGAUAAA